AAACCAGCACCCCAAGUGGUCAGGAUGAUUAUUGGGCCUAAAGCAUCCGUAGCCUGCUUUUCCAGUUUUCGGUUAAAUCCAUACGCUUAACGUAUGGGCUGCCGGAAAUACUACAAAGCUAGGGAGUGGGAGAGGUAGACGGUACUCGGUAGGAAGUGGUAAAAUGCUUUGAUCUAUCGAUGACCACCUGUGGCGAAGGCGGUCUACCAGAACACGUUCGACGGUGAGGGAUGAAAGCUGGGGGAGCAAACCGGAUUAGAAACCCGAGUAGUCC
rnacentral:rRNA from 1 species